UGUGGGAGCGAGCCUGCUCGCGAAAGCGUCGGGUCAGUCAACAUAUUCAGAGACUGAUCAACCGCCUUCGCGAGCAGGCUCGCUCCCACA
rnacentral:misc_RNA from 1 species